rnacentral:rRNA from 1 species
UACAUGCAAGUCGAGCGAACGGACGAGAAGCUUGCUUCUCUGAUGUUAGCGGCGGACGGGUGAGUAACACGUGGAUAACCUACCUAUAAGACUGGGAUAACUUCGGGAAACCGGAGCUAAUACCGGAUGAUAUUUUGAACCGCAUGGUUCAAAAGUGAAAGACGGUCUUGCUGUCACUUAUAGAUGGAUCCGCGCUGCAUUAGCUAGUUGGUAAGGUAACGGCUUACCAAGGCAACGAUGCAUAGCCGACCUGAGAGGGUGAUCGGCCACACUGGAACUGAGACACGGUCCAGACUCCUACGGGAGGCAGCAGUAGGGAAUCUUCCGCAAUGGGCGAAAGCCUGACGGAGCAACGCCGCGUGAGUGAUGAAGGUCUUCGGAUCGUAAAACUCUGUUAUUAGGGAAGAACAUAUGUGUAAGUAACUGUGCACAUCUUGACGGUACCUAAUCAGAAAGCCACGGCUAACUACGUGCCAGCAGCCGCGGUAAUACGUAGGUGGCAAGCGUUAUCCGGAAUUAUUG